GCCCAAAAAUGGAAAAGAACCCCAAACCCAAAACAAUAGUGAGAAAAAAAAGAAAAAAAACAUAUGUAUAUAUAGCUUCAACAACAAGGGAUAUAUAUGUUUGUGAGGAGGGGAAUAAAAUGGCUUUGUGGAAGUGUAAAUCGAACUACUGAUUGGUGAAGUGGCUCCUUCUUCUACAAGAGAAAAAAGGUGUGAAAGAGACAUUGCACCAAGAAGAAAAUGUGAUCUGCAUGAUUGCCCUGGAAGUGAAUGUAAAAAUGUCUCUAAGAGAAAAACAGUGACCUAAACUUCACUUCACCCUUGUCUAAGCAAACCAGCAGUUUCUCUCUCUUCACCUCUUUCUCUUAUUUCCACCCCCAUUCUCUCACUCACCUACCAUGAGCCACACCACCCACUUGUUCUUCUUCUCCAAAUGGGGUGGUUGCAGUCCCUCUUCUCUCCAUUGAAGAAGCUUUGGGUUCGAAUGCACUCGGCUCAGAAGAAGAGCAGAGGGAUAUACAUUCUAUAUGAGGAUGUCAAGUCCUGCCCCUGUGAAGAUGUGCAUGUGUUGUGGUCAAUUCUAGUGGAGUCACAAGGGCCUUCUUUGCCAUCUACAAAAUGAUGGCACAUACACAGACAUGAGCACAAACUGAGAAGAUUUUCAGUCAUGUACAUAAUUUACAUAAAAUGUUUUGAACUGGUAUAAUUUUUCUUUUUUUCCCUGUUUCCCCUUUUUGUUUCUUUACUUUCCCGCCCGUAUGCUCCAUUUUAGAGUAUGUAUUUUCUAAGUUAUGGAAAUAUUGUCUGAAAAUAGUUCGCCCAGUUUAAUCCCCAUUUGAUGGAGGUUUGUGAGGUGUAUUUCAAAUACAGUCUGCUCAGGAAAAAAAAAAAGAAAAACUCUUUCUCAUCAUGAUUAUGAUCUGAUGACUAUUUGAGAAAAUGAAGCAUAAUGUGAUCAAAAAUGGCUUCCUACUCCAACA